ACGAACGCUGGCGGCGUGCCUAAUACAUGCAAGUAGAACGCUGAAGAGAGGAGCUUGCUCUUCUUGGAUGAGUUGCGAACGGGUGAGUAACGCGUAGGUAACCUGCCUUGUAGCGGGGGAUAACUAUUGGAAACGAUAGCUAAUACCGCAUAACAAUGGAUGACACAUGUCAUUUAUUUGAAAGGGGCAAUUGCUCCACCACAAGAUGGACCUGCGUUGUAUUAGCUAGUAGGUGAGGUAACGGCUCACCUAGGCGACGAUACAUAGCCGACCUGAGAGGGUGAUCGGCCACACUGGGACUGAGACACGGCCCAGGCUCCUACGGGAGGCAGCAGUAGGGAAUCUUCGGCAAUGGGGGCAACCCUGACCGAGCAACGCCGCGUGAGUGAAGAAGGUUUUCGGAUCGUAAAGCUCUGUUGUAAGUCAAGAACGAGUGUGAGAGUGGAAAGUUCACACUGUGACGGUAGCUUACCAGAAAGGGACGGCUAACUACGUG
rnacentral:rRNA from 1 species